rnacentral:rRNA from 1 species
GACGAGCCGUGCGAACGUUAUUCGGAAUCACUGGGCUUAAAGCGCGCGUAGGCGGCGCCGAAAGUUGGAGGUGAAAUCCCACGGCUCAACCGUGGAACUGCCCCCAAAACUACGGUGCUGGAGGGAGGUAGGGGCAUGUGGAACUUCCAGUGUAGCGGUGAAAUGCGUUGAGAUUGGAAGGAACGCCAGUGGCGAAAGCGACAUGCUGGAUCUCUACUGACGCUGAGGCGCGAAAGCUAGGGGAGCGAACGGG